UGAAAUAUUUCUCAGAUGUCACCACUUCCU
rnacentral:piRNA from 1 species